CUCCCUAAGAGAAGCACCGCACAUGCAGCCUCCGCGGUUGCGAGAUAGCGUGUAGCAAUCUUCUGUGCCACCACUCUCUUCCUCUCUCGAGUCGCUACCUCAAUCCUUCCUCUUCCCUUCGUUCGUCUUUCCUCUUCUCCUCCUCCACCAGCGAGAACAAUUGCAUACACAACAGCAAUAAUGAAGCAAGCAGUUGCCACCAGCUACUCCAUUACCAAAGAAACAACCGCAGCGGCAAAGCAGCAACAGUAGUGAGGCAGCGCAAUAAUAGCGAUCGAUGCCUCCAAGUAGAGAAUCCCCAUUCACCUCUUUUUUUCCAUCUUUAUUGAUGAGAACAAACAACAGGCAGAAGCAAAGACAGCCCCUCUUCUUUUUUCGGCGAGGACGAACAACGCACUCCGGCAGAGAUUUUGAAGACUUUGAGACGGAUCUUAACAGAUCUGUCCAGAUAAGUUUUCCCAAUUAAUUUUAUGGGCUCAAGAUCACAUACUAGGCAUUAUGGUGAAGACACCUUCCUCCAACAACAUGCAAUAUAUAGUUAUAUAUUACUCAAGAAUUGUCUUCAACUUUGAAAACAUCGUCAAUUGCAAGCAACCAUGAAAGAUCAUUUGUAAAGCUCAAGACCACUACUACUUGCAGGCUUAAGACCACUUACAUUGGAAGGAAUUGGACCAGUUAGGGAAUUGAGCAACAUAUUUAAGGUUUCAAGUUGUGGACUCCAGCUACCAUUACAGGAAAAGCCCAUAAAGCUGUUAGUUUGAAGCGAUAUGGCUAUGAUAUUCUUAAUGUGAACAGGGAAAUUGGUCCAUCUAAUUGUUAUUAUCAAGGAUAAAAUCCCCUAUGCUUGUGAUAUUUCAUAGAGGUCGAGGAAUGAAGCCUAAGAGAUUACAUGAUCUCAAGUACAAUUGACGUAAUUAAGUUAAAUAGCUAAAUGAUUUAGAUAUCCUCUCAAUAAAACUCACUCCAUUUACAUAUAACUCCAUGAGAGUUUCACUGUUAUUAUCUUUGAUUGUGGGAAACCAUACUGUGAGCUGUAAUUUGGAUGAUAAAUAAAGAUAUUUCAAGUUUGAA